ensembl:lncRNA
AAAAAAACGUACCAUGAAUGCUUUAACUUUGUAAAUAAAAUGUAUAUUGUGUGUCUAUUGUAUGCAAUAUACAUUUUUAAAUAAUAUUUUUCUCUUUCCUUUGAAUUCUGCCCUUUUGACUUCCUUUUUAAACACACACACAUCCAAAAAGUUACAAACUUACCGAAACACCAGUUUGCUGCUAUAUACAGGUAUAUAAAAUUAUGAAGCAUUUUCCCUACAAGUGCUAACCACAUUUGGAAAGUCAGGAAUUUGUGAAAGCUCCGGACCUGCCAAAUUCUCCCCACUGCUGUCCUUCAUGUCAAAUUAUGUGGUACUGCUUAUAAUCACAAAAUAAACCAGAAAGAAUUUUACAUAUGCUUUCAUGCUUGUUUUUUCAUUGUCUGAAAGGAAUGCUUCGACAUGAGGAUGUCGAAAGAAGACAAUUUAAAAAAAAUUUAAAAAACAGGGUCAAAUUUGCUUUUACAUGUGACAAACAACUGAAUCUAGAAGAAAAAGAAAGAAAACAGGAGUGGGAGUGGGCUGUCUAUAAUUUGACAAUAUGGCACACCAGGGACAGUUGCGGGAAGGCGUGUGAAGUGUCGCUGAGCAGCCUGGGGUUCUCACAAUAGCGUUUUUUUUAAACCAAUGACUCAUACUUUGGUAUGAUAACCUCUUUAUCUGUUAACUGAUAAUGACAAAAAAAAAGAAAAAAAUGCUCCUUUAUCCAACAUAUAAAUCUAAAAUGAAUUACCAGAUGACCAAAAGCUUAAAGGACUCUAGUACUAAUUUUACAGUUACAGUAUAAGAUAUUCUAACGAUGCCUGGGGUUAAUUUAACUAAAACAAAUUCAUUCAGUUCAUGGUUUCAAUCUGAAUUCAUGCUGUACGGUAUUAUUAUCUCUAUGGAGGACUCCCAGCUGUCAGUUUAAGUCUAAGGAUAAGGUCACUGACCUGACCAACCUACUCAAUGUUUAUUGUCUGCUGUUUCUCCGAGUUGAUCUUUUUGUCUCUGCUCUCCCCCUUUAAUGCUCCCCUCUCUGCGCUUCUAGUCCUGCAGGAAUUUUUUUUUCUGCAGGGGACCUUCCAUGACAAUAGAAGGUUAUUAUUUUGCUA